rnacentral:rRNA from 1 species
CCUACGGGCGGCAGCAGUGGGGGAUAUUGCACAAUGGGGGAAACCCUGAUGCAGCGACGCCGCGUGAGUGAAGAAGUAUUUCGGUAUGUAAAGCUCUAUCAGCCGGGAAGAAAAUGACAGUACCUGACCAAGAAGCCCCGGCAAACUACGUGACGACAGCCGGGGCAAUAUGUAGGGGGCAAGCGUGAUCCGGAUUUACUGGGCGUAAAGGGAGCGUAGACGGUUAUGUUAGUCUGGAGUUAAAGGCCGGGGCCCAACCCCGGGGCUGCUUUGGAAACUGGGUAACUGGAGUACAGGAGGGGCAGGCGGAAUGCCUGGUGUAGCGGUGAAAUGCGUAGAUAUCAGGAGGAACACCGACGGCGAAGGCAGCCUGCUGGGCUGAAACUGACGCUGAGGCUCGAAAGCGUGGGUAUCGAACAGGAUUAGAUACCCUUGUAGUC